UAACACGUAGGGGGCAAGCGUUGUUCGGAAUUAUUGGGCGUAAAGGGCAUGUAGGCGGUUUCGUAAGCCUGGUGUGAAAUCCUGCAGCUUAACUGUAGAAUUGCAUUGGGUACUGCGAGACUUGAAUCACAGAGGGGAAACUAGAAUUCCAGGUGUAGGGGUGGAAUCUGUAGAUAUCUGGAAGAAUACCGGUGGCGAAGGCGGGUUUCUAGCUGAUGAUUGACGCUGAGGUGCGAAAGUGCGGGGAGCAAACAGGAUUAGAUACCCUGGUAGUCCGCACCGUAAACUAUGUACACUAGGUGUAGGGGCAUGAGUCUCUGUGCCGAAGCUAACGUGAUAAGUGUACCGCCUGGGAAGUAUGCCCGCAAGGGUGAAACUUAAAGGAAUUGACGG
rnacentral:rRNA from 1 species